AUCGUUGACGAUCAGGUUCAUUUAAUUGUGGCCACCAAAAUCAUGAUCACAAUCAAAAUCCGAUUAAUUGUGGAGCUCUACUUCUUCUACAGAUAUCU